UUGUUUGAGGAUAUUAGUGUUGAUGGGAGUGACCAUUGGAACCCCGCAUCUGGCUUGCCUCCCCCCUCUAGUUCAGCAUUGAAAACCGCCUUGAAUGUUGAUGAAAUCACUGAUCUUGAUUUGGAGGACCAUAUCGAAGAGCAAGCAUCUCCAUCAAUAUCUAGUGCGUCUAAAGUGAGGCUUGGGGUCACGAUUCCAGAGAAGAACAAGAAAUCGAAGACCGCACAAGUGAUGCAGGAGGAGAUUAGAAAGACUAGUUCCAUUGCCCAUGCUUCGCACGCAACAUUUCAAUCUUUCCUAAGAAAUGAAUCCACCUCCGUUGCCUCUACCAUGGAUUUAGUUCAUGCUUGUGGCGCAAUAGAAGGCACAGAUGAGAACUUCAUUGCUACUGAGCUCUUUCUGAAGAGAGAGCAGAGGGAGACGUUCUUGCACAUGACAGCUGACUCUCCAAAGGGUUGGCUGCGUAGGAUGUUUAACCUCAAGUAUGGGAACUAG
rnacentral:rRNA from 1 species